rnacentral:rRNA from 1 species
GGGACACGUGGUAUCCUGUCUGAAUAUGGGGGGACCAUCCUCCAAGGCUAAAUACUCCUGACUGACCGAUAGUGAACCAGUACCGUGAGGGAAAGGCGAAAAGAACCCCGGCGAGGGGAGUGAAAAAGAACCUGAAACCGUGUACGUACAAGCAGUGGGAGCACGCUUAGGCGUGUGACUGCGUACCUUUUGUAUAAUGGGUCAGCGACUUAUAUUCUGUAGCAAGGUUAACCGAAUAGGGGAGCCGAAGGGAAACCGAGUCUUAACUGGGCGUUAAGUUGCAGGGUAUAGACCCGAAACCCGGUGAUCUAGCCAUGGGCAGGUUGAAGGUUGGGUAACACUAACUGGAGGACCGAACCGACUAAUGUUGAAAAAUUAGCGGAUGACUUGUGGCUGGGGGUGAAAGGCCAAUCAAACCGGGAGAUAGCUGGUUCUCCCCGAAAGCUAUUUAGGUAGCGCCUCGUGAAUUCAUCUCCGGGGGUAGAGCACUGUUUCGGCAAGGGGGUCAUCCCGACUUACCAACCCGAUGCAAACUGCGAAUACCGGAGAAUGUUAUCACGGGAGACACACGGCGGGUGCUAACGUCCGUCGUGAAGAGGGAAACAACCCAGACCGCCAGCUAAGGUCCCAAAGUCAUGGUUAAGUGGGAAACGAUGUGGGAAGGCCCAGACAGCCAGGAUGUUGGCUUAGAAGCAGCCAUCAUUUAAAGAAAGCGUAAUAGCUCACUGGUCGAGUCGGCCUGCGCGGAAGAUGUAACGGGGCUAAACCAUGCACCGAAGCUGCGGCAGCGACGCUUAUGCGUUGUUGGGUAGGGGAGCGUUCUGUAAGCCUGCGAAGGUGUGCUGUGAGGCAUGCUGGAGGUAUCAGAAGUGCGAAUGCUGACAUAAGUAACGAUAAAGCGGGUGAAAAGCCCGCUCGCCGGAAGACCAAGGGUUCCUGUCCAACGUUAAUCGGGGCAGGGUGAGUCGACCCCUAAGGCGAGGCCGAAAGGCGUAGUCGAUGGGAAACAGGUUAAUAUUCCUGUACUUGGUGUUACUGCGAAGGGGGGACGGAGAAGGCUAUGUUGGCCGGGCGACGGUUGUCCCGGUUUAAGCGUGUAGGCUGGUUUUCCAGGCAAAUCCGGAAAAUCAAGGCUGAGGCGUGAUGACGAGGCACUACGGUGCUGAAGCAACAAAUGCCCUGCUUCCAGGAAAAGCCUCUAAGCAUCAGGUAACAUCAAAUCGUACCCCAAACCGACACAGGUGGUCAGGUAGAGAAUACCAAGGCGCUUGAGAGAACUCGGGUGAAGGAACUAGGCAAAAUGGUGCCGUAACUUCGGGAGAAGGCACGCUGAUAUGUAGGUGAAGUCCCUCGCGGAUGGAGCUGAAAUCAGUCGAAGAUACCAGCUGGCUGCAACUGUUUAUUAAAAACACAGCACUGUGCAAACACGAAAGUGGACGUAUACGGUGUGACGCCUGCCCGGUGCCGGAAGGUUAAUUGAUGGGGUUAGCGCAAGCGAAGCUCUUGAUCGAAGCCCCGGUAAACGGCGGCCGUAACUAUAACGGUCCUAAGGUAGCGAAAUUCCUUGUCGGGUAAGUUCCGACCUGCACGAAUGGCGUAAUGAUGGCCAGGCUGUCUCCACCCGAGACUCAGUGAAAUUGAACUCGCUGUGAAGAUGCAGUGUACCCGCGGCAAGACGGAAAGACCCCGUGAACCUUUACUAUAGCUUGACACUGAACAUUGAGCCUUGAUGUGUAGGAUAGGUGGGAGGCUUUGAAGUGUGGACGCCAGUCUGCAUGGAGCCGACCUUGAAAUACCACCCUU